UACGGAGGGAGCUAGCGUUGUUCGGAAUUACUGGGCGUAAAGCGCACGUAGGCGGCUUUUUAAGUCAGGGGUGAAAUCCCGGGGCUCAACCCCGGAACUGCCCUUGAAACUGGAGAGCUAGAAUCUUGGAGAGGCGAGUGGAAUUCCGAGUGUAGAGGUGAAAUUCGUAGAUAUUCGGAAGAACACCAGUGGCGAAGGCGACUCGCUGGACAAGUAUUGACGCUGAGGCUCGAAAGCAUGGGGAGCAAACAGG
rnacentral:rRNA from 1 species